CCUACGGGUCGCAACAGUGGGGAAUAUUGGACAAUGGGCGAAAGCCUGAUCCAGCCAUGCCGCGUGUGUGAAGAAGGCCUUCGGGUUGUAAAGCACUUUCAGUGGGGAAGAAAGCCUUGGGGCUAAUACCCUCGAGGAAGGACAUCACCCACAGAAGAAGCACCGGCUAACUCCGUGCCAGCAGCCGCGGUAAUACGGAGGGUGCGAGCGUUAAUCGGAAUUACUGGGCGUAAAGCGCGCGUAGGCGGUCUGAUAAGCCGGUUGUGAAAGCCCCGGGCUCAACCUGGGAACGGCAUCCGGAACUGUCAGGCUAGAGUGCAGGAGAGGAAGGUAGAAUUCCCGGUGUAGCGGUGAAAUGCGUAGAGAUCGGGAGGAAUACCAGUGGCGAAGGCGGCCUUCUGGACUGACACUGACGCUGAGGUGCGAAAGCGUGGGUAGCAAACAGGAAUAGAUACCCGAGUAGUC
rnacentral:rRNA from 1 species